GUGUGGGGUGUGUGUGGGGGGGGGUCUUCAAAAGACCUUCACCUGAAAUCCAUUAUGCACUCCUAACUUCCACUGUCUGUGAGAGAUUUGGGGAGAUGCUAGACUAUAUACCAUGUGGAAGGCUUAUUGAAAAGAGGACUCCAUGACACAGCAUCCAUGAGAUCAUGCUCCAUGAUCAAGUGGGACCCUGUGGUGAGAGAACUGCACUGGGGUCACUCAUACUCCUCCAACCUCCCUGCAACAAGAGCAGCACAGCAGAACACACAAGGAAAAGUGGGCCAAAAGAAGGCUUGAGGUGCCGUGUAGCAUAUCAACAGGUUUGCAGACCGUAAAGCAUCACAUGGCACACCGUUCUAUAGAGAGAUCAGACCGAAGAUCGAAGUCUCCAACUAAGAUUCCAGAAUGAAAAGGCAUGUUCGAGCAAGUGUUAAAUUCUAGGUUCUACCCAAAGUUCUUUCCCUGCACUGCUCAAUGACCCUAGACCAGUGACUAGCUCUUGCCCACCUGUAAAAUAAAAGGCUGGUGGAGGUCCUUAUGAACACCCUGAAAA